rnacentral:rRNA from 1 species
GAGUUUGAUCUUGGCUCAGAUUGAACGCUGGCGGCAUGCCUUACACAUGCAAGUCGAACGGCAGCACGGGAGCUUGCUCCUGGUGGCGAGUGGCGAACGGGUAAGUAAUGCAUCGGAACGUAUCCUGGAGUGGGGGAUAACGUAGCGAAAGUUACGCUAAUACCGCAUAUUCUGUGAGCAGGAAAGCGGGGGACCUUCGGGCCUCGCGCUCUUGGAGCGGCCGAUGUCGGAUUAGCUAGUUGGUGAGGUAAAGGCUCACCAAGGCGACGAUCCGUAGCAGGUCUGAGAGGAUGAUCUGCCACACUGGAACUGAGACACGGUCCAGACUCCUACGGGAGGCAGCAGUGGGGAAUUUUGGACAAUGGGGGCAACCCUGAUCCAGCCAUGCCGCGUGAGUGAAGAAGGCC